rnacentral:rRNA from 1 species
UACGAAGGGUCCAAGCGUUAUCCGGAUUUAUUGGGCUUAAAGGGUGCGUAGGCGGCUUAUUAAGUCAGUGGUGAAAGCCUGUAGCUCAACUACAGAACUGCCAUUGAUACUGAUGAGCUUGAAUAUACUUGAGGUUGGCGGAAUGUGUCAUGUAGCGGUGAAAUGCUUAGAUAUGACACAGAACACCGAUUGCGAAGGCAGCUAGCUAAAGUACAAUUGACGCUGAUGCACGAAAGCGUGGGGAGCAAACAGG